GCAACAAAAAAGCAAAACAUCAGCUGUGCGCCAUGUGUACUUCGAACUCUUUUUCUCUGCGAGACUGUGUAUUCAGGCGCGUGUUCAUUGAUUUAAACAAGAAGGAUGUCUGAAAGUUUUAUCAAGAUAGAAGACGACUACAAGUUGUACUCAACUGAACAUUUUAGUUUUCCAAGACAUUAUGAAGAUUCCAUAGGUUCUAUACUCAUUCCACAUGGACUAAUUGUGGAUAGAAUUGAGAGAAUGGCUAGAGACAUUCAUGAAGGAUUUGAAGCUGAAUCAAUGACUGUAUUAUGUAUAUUGAAAGGAGGAUUUAGAUUUUGUCAAGAUUUGAUGCAUUUUAUAAAACAAAUAAAUAGAAAUUCUGGUAAAUCCAUUCAAUUAGGGUUAGAUUUUUUGAGAGUAAAAAGUUAUAUUAAUGAAAAAAGUGGAGAAGUUAAAAUUCUAGGUAGCGAUGAUUUAAGUCAGUUAAAGGGAAAGAAUGUUCUCAUUGUGGAGGAUAUCAUUGAUACUGGCAAAACUAUGGAAAAACUAUUAGCAACGUUGGGAAAAUUUGAGCCUAAAUCUUUAAAAGUUGCAUCAUUAUUAAUAAAGAGACGCCCAGAUAGCACUGGUUACCGACCUGACUAUAUUGGUUUUCAAAUUCCCAACAAAUUUGUUAUUGGUUAUGCAUUGGUAAGAAUGAACUUGUACACUACUAACAACAUCUACUUUUCCCAUUUUUUUUCUUCUUAGACCUUGGAUUUGAGAUUCCAAAUAUUUGGAUAAGUGGUUACGGUGGUUUUGAUUAUAACGAAUACUUCCGAGAUUUGGAUCAUAUAUGCAUCAUAAAUGAACAUGGCAAGCAGAAAUAUUCCGUAUAAUGUUGACAUCAUUACUUGAAUAGGAUGUUUUUGGAUACACACCUGUCACGUGACGAAAAAUACAUGCGUAUGUGACGUGAUUUUUUUCCAUAGGAUAUAUCAGCAUUUUUUAUAAUACCUAUUAUUUUUUAUAAACAUUUAAUAAUUUAACCUUAUAUGGACAUAAUUUUAUCAAUUUCAUUUUAUUUUGGAGUUUCUAAUUUAAGGCGAAAGCCCAGUCCGAGGAACGCACUGUAGUGCUAUUACUGUGAUGUUCUUAGUGUUCAAAAAAAAUUUCAAAAUAAUUUGGAUUUCUGAUGCUGAAAAAGCUUUCAAAUAUUGCGCCAUGGUGAGUAUUUUAAUGGACUAGGAAUUCUCAACUCAACACAGUAAAAUAUUUUUAUCCAAUUCAGGCCAUGGAGAUGAAAAAAUAUAUAGAAUUUUUGUAUGUUCUAUCAAUGUAACCAUAGUAUUAACCAAAAAAUAUUUGCACAAGAAACAAA